rfam:[Eubacterium rectale] ATCC 33656 chromosome, complete genome.
UUAGAAACGUGCGCCGCUAGGCGCACAACGCAGAAAUACCCAGCCAUGGACGGCUGGGUAAGGCGUUAUGCGCCACGGACGGCGCAUAAAAGCCGGUUUCGUCAAGCAUAGAAACCCAUCAAGCAUAAUUUCGUACAGUAUCUU